rnacentral:piRNA from 1 species
UGCAAUCAUCCACACAGAGCUUCAACU